UCCCAUGUGGCUCAGUUGGUAGAGCAUGGUGUUUGAAACGCCAGGGUUGUGGGUGCGAUUCCCACGGGGGAC
rfam:Salmo salar isolate Sally breed double haploid chromosome ssa18, whole genome shotgun sequence.